GCCUGGGUUGCUUAGUCGGUUAAGCAUCUGACUUUGGCUCAGGUCAUGACCUUGUGGUCUGAAGCAUCCGACUUUGGCUCAGGUCAUGACCUUUUGGUCCGUGAGUUCAAGCCCCACCUUGAGCU
rnacentral:tRNA from 1 species